rnacentral:rRNA from 1 species
UUUAAUUGAAGAGUUUGAUCAUGGCUCAGAUUGAACGCUGGCGGCAGGCCUAACACAUGCAAGUCGAGCGGCAGCACAAGGGAGUUUACUCCUGAGGUGGCGAGCGGCGGACGGGUGAGUA